UACAGAGGUCUCAAGCGUUGUUCGGAUUCAUUGGGCGUAAAGGGUGCGUAGGCGGCGGGGCAAGUCGGAUGUGAAAUCUCAGGGCUCAACCCUGAAACUGCAUUCGAUACUGCCUUGCUCGAGGACUGGAGAGGAGAUUGGAAUUCACGAUGUAGCAGUGAAAUGCGUAGAUAUUCGCAAGAACACCAGUGGCGAAGGCGGCUCACUGGUCCGGUUCUGACGCUGAGGCGCGAAAGCGUGGGGAGCAAACAGG
rnacentral:rRNA from 1 species